rnacentral:rRNA from 1 species
GAUGAACGCUGGCGGCGUGCCUAAUACAUGCAAGUCGAGCGAACGGACGAGAAGCUUGCUUCUCUGAUGUUAGCGGCGGACGGGUGAGUAACACGUGGAUAACCUACCUAUAAGACUGGGAUAACUUCGGGAAACCGGAGCUAAUACCGGAUAAUAUUUUGAACCGCAUGGUUCAAAAGUGAAAGACGGUCUUGCUGUCACUUAUAGAUGGAUCCGCGCUGCAUUAGCUAGUUGGUAAGGUAACGGCUUACCAAGGCAACGAUGCAUAGCCGACCUGAGAGGGUGAUCGGCCACACUGGAACUGAGACACGGUCCAGACUCCUACGGGAGGCAGCAGUAGGGAAUCUUCCGCAAUGGGCGAAAGCCUGACGGAGCAACGCCGCGUGAGUGAUGAAGGUCUUCGGAUCGUAAAACUCUGUUAUUAGGGAAGAACAUAUGUGUAAGUAACUGUGCACAUCUUGACGGUACCUAAUCAGAAAGCCACGGCUAACUACGUGCCAGCAGCCGCGGUAAUACGUAGGUGGCAAGCGUUAUCCGGAAUUAUUGGGCGUAAAGCGCGCGUAGGCGGUUUUUUAAGUCUGAUGUGAAAGCCCACGGCUCAACCGUGGAGGGUCAUUGGAAACUGGAAAACUUGAGUGCAGAAGAGGAAGGUGGAAUUCCAUGUGUAGCGGUGAAAUGCGCAGAGAUAUGGAGGAACACCAGUGGCGAAGGCGACUUUCUGGUCUGUAACUGACGCUGAUGUGCGAAAGCGUGGGGAUCAAACAGGAUUAGAUACCCUGGUAGUCCACGCCGUAAACGAUGAGUGCUAAGUGUUAGGGGGUUUCCGCCCCUUAGUGCUGCAGCUAACGCAUUAAGCACUCCGCCUGGGGAGUACGACCGCAAGGUUGAAACUCAAAGGAAUUGACGGGGACCCGCACAAGCGGUGGAGCAUGUGGUUUAAUUCGAAGCAACGCGAAGAACCUUACCAAAUCUUGACAUCCUUUGACAACUCUAGAGAUAGAGCCUUCCCCUUCGGGGGACAAAGUGACAGGUGGUGCAUGGUUGUCGUCAGCUCGUGUCGUGAGAUGUUGGGUUAAGUCCCGCAACGAGCGCAACCCUUAAGCUUAGUUGCCAUCAUUAAGUUGGGCACUCUAAGUUGACUGCCGGUGACAAACCGGAGGAAGGUGGGGAUGACGUCAAAUCAUCAUGCCCCUUAUGAUUUGGGCUACACACGUGCUACAAUGGACAAUACAAAGGGCAGCGAAACCGCGAGGUCAAGCAAAUCCCAUAAAGUUGUUCUCAGUUCGGAUUGUAGUCUGCAACUCGACUACAUGAAGCUGGAAUCGCUAGUAAUCGUAGAUCAGCAUGCUACGGUGAAUACGUUCCCGGGUCU